UUACUGCUGAAGAGUCUCAGAAUAGAACGAAACGGCCGUCUAGUGC
rnacentral:hammerhead_ribozyme from 1 species